rnacentral:rRNA from 1 species
UACGGAGGGGGCUAGCGUUGUUCGGAAUUACUGGGCGUAAAGCGCACGUAGGCGGCUUUGCAAGUUAGAGGUGAAAUCUCGGGGCUUAACUCCGAAACUGCAUUCGAUACUGCCGUGCUUGAGGACUGGAGAGGAGACUGGAAUUUACGGUGUAGCGGUGAAAUGCGUAGAUAUCGUAAGGAAGACCAGUGGCGAAGGCGGGUCUCUGGACAGUUCCUGACGCUGAGGCACGAAGGUCAGGGGAGCAAACGGG